rnacentral:rRNA from 1 species
GUCGAACGAUGAAGCCCUUCGGGGUGGAUUAGUGGCGAACGGGUGAGUAACACGUGGGCAAUCUGCCCUUCACUCUGGGACAAGCCCUGGAAACGGGGUCUAAUACCGGAUAACACUCCUGCCUGCAUGGGCGGGGGUUAAAAGCUCCGGCGGUGAAGGAUGAGCCCGCGGCCUAUCAGCUUGUUGGUGGGGUAAUGGCCCACCAAGGCGACGACGGGUAGCCGGCCUGAGAGGGCGACCGGCCACACUUGGGACUGAGACACGGCCCAGACUCCUACGGGAGGCAGCAGUGGGGAAUAUUGCACAAUGGGCGAAAGCCUGAUGCAGCGACGCCGCGUGAGGGAUGACGGCCUUCGGGUUGUAAACCUCUUUCAGCAGGGAAGAAGCGAAAGUGACGGUACCUGCAGAAGAAGCGCCGGCUAACUACGU